CAGAAGAAUUGAAUUCAAGGCGGCGUAUAGCGGCUGUAUAGUUGGCGCAACGGUUUCGGAAUUCAGGAGAUUCAGAUGAUUUUUUGAAGUUGUCAAUAAUGCUUUGAAGUUUAUGUUUUUCAGAAAGUUUGGAUGUGGGUUUGGUGGAAGUUGUUUGGGGCUGUUCAGUUUUCAGAUUUACACUGACUUUGCGUUUCCCGG
rnacentral:misc_RNA from 1 species